UCCCCUGAAGCAACAGGACUGCAUGAGCUUGGUGUGGCUGAGCCCAUGUCCUAAUGAACAUCCAGAAAAGAAAGACACUCAGAAAGCCAGGAAAAUGGAAGAAUUUUUUUUUUCAGCCAGCCAGGCACCUGACAGUAAUCAAAAUCUGUAAAGAACAGGAUGUGGAGCCUCCUCUGCUUGUUCAGCACGAACAUUUUGUGGGUGUACCCAAAGCAACCAAUGGAACAAAGAAUUGGACAAAACGCACAAACAAAGCAAGAAGGAAUGAAGGGUUUUAUUGAAAAUGAAAGUACACUCCACAGUGUGGGAGUGGGCCUGAGCAGAGGGGCUCAAAGGCCCCAUUGUAGAAUUUUGGGGAGUUUAAAUAUCCCCAAGAACCUGAACAACCUCUGCCGUUAACAUAUUUUGGUGACCCGGGAAGGAGGAAGAGGCCUGAAAGAUAAGACAAAGAGGUUCCUACAACCUGGAGACCGAGAAGGCUGCCAGGCAGGAGCUGUGAUUGCAGCUGAAAGAUGCAG
rnacentral:lncRNA from 1 species